GCAUGGCUGAAUACUGUGUUCUUUUUAUCAGUGGUUUACGUAGCCAGACACCAUGCAAAANNNNNNNAAAAAAAAAAAGAAAAAGAGCAGUCUUCCCUUUAAAGUGGUUAUAAUCAUAUGCUAAGUUUUUUCAUAGCAUAUCAUUAUUCAAAGGAAAUACAAAC
rnacentral:snoRNA from 1 species